GAUCAGGGGCUCGUUCUUCGUACGUCGCUAACUCAGUUAGCUGGAUUUGAUUGUUGACGAUUUGGCAUGAUCUUGGAUCGUUUGGUUCUUCGAAGCUCAUCCUAGACUUGCUGUCAUAGCAACAGGCUUCCCUAACGUGAUUGGUGCCAUAGACUGCACACACGUCCCCAUCAAGGCCCCACCAGGGCCCAAUGAAGGGGAUUUUGUGAACCGAAAGGGGGUUCACAGUGUAAAUGUGCAGGCAAGUUACUAUUACAAUUUAUAAUAUUCCAGAUUAGUAAUAUAUUACAUAAAAAAAAUCAAUGUAAUCAAAAAGUAUGCAGAUGACUGACUAAAAUCUCUUAGAUGGUGUGUGACUAUGUUCCAUAUAACAAAUGUGGAAGCAAAAUGGCCAGGAUCAGUGGAUGACUCAAGAAUUUUCAGAGAGUCACAUUUAUGCACAUUAUUUGAACGUGGGAAUUUUGACGGGGUCCUGCUUGGUGACCGGGGCUAUGCCUGCAGGCAGUACUUCAUGACGCCAUUCCCUGACCCAAACCCUGGACCACAAACCCGUUACAAUGCAGCUCUAGCCAGGACAAGGGCACGCAUUGAAAUGACCUUUGGGCAACUAAAGGAAAGAUUUCAGUGUCUGAAGGGUCUGAGGGUUGCACCUGACAGGGCCUGUGACAUAAUUGUUGCAUGUGCCAUAUUGGAUAACAUUGCCACUAUCAGAAAGGAGAGGACCCCUGUGGUGGGGGUGCAGCCUGAUGAUGACCUCCAGCCAGUGCACUUGGACCAACCUAGUGGCAGAGCUGCACGGGACAGAAUUGUGGAAUACCAUUUUUGAAUGUGUAAUAAAAGACAAGACAAAAAUGCUUAGUUCCUGGAGUUUUAUUUAAACAAUUCUUUAUAAAGAAAAGCCAGCAAGUCAUCCUUUGCCUGCAAUAAGAGAUAGUUAUGUAAAGUCAGCAAUACUACUAUGUGUCAAAUGAUGUAUUAGCACUUACUCUGAAGGUCCUUUUGAAGCAACUCUCUCUAGUGCAAUUUUUCUCUUUUUCAAGUUGUCAAGUUCAAUUUCUCCUCUUAAUUUGUGUUUUUUCAGGUCAAAAUACUCGAUUUUUUUGUUGAAGAUGCCGUUUAUAUAGGGAACGGAUGUCACCCUGUGUCAUUUUGUGAAAGAAAAAGGGUCAAAACAUGCCACAUGCAACAAAAGUAAAAAGUAAAAGUACAA